UCUCAGUUCAGACUGUGGGCUGUAACUCGCCCACACGAAGUCGGAAUUGCUAGUAAUCGCGGAUCAGCAUGCCGCGGUGAAUACGUUCCCGGGCCUUGUACACACCGCCCGUCAAACCAUGAGAGUUGGAAACACCCGAAGUCUGUUGCCUAACCGUAAGGAGGGCGCAGCCGAAGGUGGGUCUGAUGAUUGGGGUUAAGUCGUAACAAGGUAUC
rnacentral:rRNA from 1 species